GGCGGUUCUUGGGUGACACACCCCGGAAUCAGACUCCCUCCUCUCUGGUUCCAGGUGUCACCUGAGAGCUGCA
rfam:Myotis brandtii contig314671, whole genome shotgun sequence.